rnacentral:tRNA from 1 species
GGCCCCAUCGUCUAACGGCUAGGACACGGGCCUUUCAAGCCCGAGGCGGGGGUUCGAUUCCCCCUGGGGUCA